GGAGGUAUAGCUCAGCGGUAGAGCGGCAGAUUGCAGUUACUCACGCGGUUAUCUGAUGGUCACGUGUUCGAUCCACGUUACCUCCU